rnacentral:misc_RNA from 1 species
UUGGCAUGCUGUUAUUGUACAUCUCUUUUCUCAAGACAUUUUCGAGCAUUCAGGAUAAAGAAAAAAAAUAGCAGUAAAGUGGUAAGCUGUAUAGGACCUGUAGUAAAGCUAAACAGAAGAGAGAAAGUUUUAAGUACACGAGUAUGUUUUUACACUAAUGGUUUUGUCAGAUCGAUGUGUAUGAUACGUCAAGGCGGGAGUGUGAUUUUUGUGACCGUUAGUUUAUUAAUGAGGAUGGAUUUUAAAUGAUAGCUAUCAUUGAGAUUUUUAUUUUACUACUCGCAAACUCUGUUGAGAUUUGUUAUUCGCGAACAAUUCGCGACUUUAGACGAGAACAAACGGACGAGCGUCUCGAUGUUAUAACGAAACAGUCAAAAUGGAAGAGCAGAGCGUACACAGCAGUAUCAGUGAUAUAAAUAGUGAGGAAGCCACGAAGUCCGAACCAAUAAUCCUUCCAAGAAAAAAAAGAAUAUGUUUAGUUGGAAUAGCCAGUAGUGAUCCAAUACUUGAAACAGCAGCUUAUCAAUUUAAUGUUCCUGUUCUUAAAUCUGACACUGGAGUAGAAUAUGUCGACGAUACAACUUAUUGUACCUAUUUUGUUCUCAAGCAUUUCGAAGGAUCCGAAUAUGAAGUUUUACACAAAAGCCCACACAGAAUAUUGGGACCAACUGCACUUGUACAGUUGGCAGAAAGGAAGGAAUCUCUACCCAGUAUCAACAGACCCAUGUACACAAGAGCUAUGCUCGGAACAGUUGUAGUGUUUACUGGAUUCAGAAAAAAAGAUGAAUUGACAAGGCUCAUCAAUAUGAUUCACAGUAUGGGAGGCAGUAUUAGAAAAGAUAUGGGUGCAAAAGUGACUCACCUCAUUGCAAAUUGCUGUGGUGGUGAUAAAUACAGAUAUGCUGUUACCUUUCGGGUACCUAUCAUGUCUAUGAAUUGGGUAAUAGCACUCUGGGAUGCUAAAAAUGAUGUGACGAGCUAUGCAAAUAAUGAAAAUAUGAUUGCACAGUAUAAGUUGAAACCCUUUUUUGGUGCAAAAGUAUGUUUCUUUGGCUUCCCUGAUGAUGAAAAGAGGCAUAUGUGUGAAGUUCUUCAACAGCAAGGGGGAGAACCAACAGAGAUUGAUGAUCCUGAAUGCACCCACGUAGUUACUGAUUUUAACAACAAGCGCACAAAAAAUGGUGAAACUAAGGCUCCUAGAAUACAAUCUUCUAAUUACUCUAAUACUAAAUCUAUCCCUUCACCACCCAAGUCUUCCCCUUUAUUAAAUCAAACAUUCAUUCUUAGUCCAUCUGAUAAAGAAAGUCCGCGAUUAAUUCUAAAUAAUAGUAAUAAUAAUGAUGAUGAUGAUGAUGAUGAUGAUGAUGAUGAGUCUUCUAAAAGUCAAUUUAAUAGCAUAACUUCAUUAAUGACGUUGGGUUCUGUUAUGAAUAUUGAUAGAGAUACUGCGGGAGUCAGUAGUUUUUAUAGAAAUACAAGUCAAGAUUCAGCUAUUUUUAUGGAUUAUUUCUCUUCUAAUUCAGAACAACCUCACUCGUUUAACGAAUCUGAUAUGCUUAAUGAACGCAAUAAUUUUUUAUCUUCAACUAAAAUUUUACAAAAUAUAAAUAAUUUAAAAAAUAAUUAUUUUAAAAAACCUCUAUCAAUUAAUGAUAAUAAUUUAUUCAAAAAAAAACAUAUAAUACCGAGACGUUAUCUUAAAUGGAAAAAAUCUAAAUCAUGUUUUACAUUACCAUCAUUCACGGCAACUGCAAAUCAAUCCCAAAGCUUGAAAAAGCAAUGUUCGAAUACAUCAUUAAAACAAGAAGAAAAUAUUGACGAAUAUUUAUGCAAAGAAAUGAAUCAGAAAAUGAAAAAACAUCAAUCUAGACUAUCAAUUUCAAAAUAUCCAUAUUAUUAUCAAUCUGCUCCUUCUUUUUCUUCAUCAUCGUCAUCAAUACACGAUAUGACAUUUCCUCUUUCAUUUAAACAAUGCUCCACGCAAAUUAGUCCACAUACUAUCAAUGACUUUAAGAUCAAGCGACGCUCUCUAUCAUGUAGCUUCUUCUCUACUCAAUCUAAAUCAACACGGUUGUCACUGCCAAAUCUACCUAGGUAUCCAAAAGGCUUAAUACGUGAUAUAUCUGCUUCUGUUGAUUUUAAAUCUAAUUUACAAAAAGAAAAAUACUUCAAGAUUAAACAACGGAAGGACGCGCCAUCUUUGAUGGUUGUCGACGAGUCAAACGUGAAUACUUUGCCGGAUUUGGCGGCAAUGCGAGCCUUCAUAGUUAAGGCUGAGUGGUUUUGGACGUCAGUUCAAAACGAAGGGGCUGCUGAUGAGAAAGAAUACUUAUUUGAAGAUUACUUGGAGUCAAUAUUGUCACCGAGCGCAACUGUCAAAAAAGACAAUCAGCAAACUGCAACACCUACUACGGCAUCGACUAGACGGAAACGCAAACGUCUUGCUGACACACUGUCGAGCCUUGUACAAAACGGCACCGAUUCGCCGGCUGUUCACAAAAGAAGAUCUAGCAUCAGCGAUGCAGGUCACCUGAGUGUUAGUGGAAGCUUCUUAGAUUGCACUGCAAGUCCUGACAAGCAAAUGUUGGAUGAUAUUCCAGAAGUAGAAGCUGUAACAGCAGAAUCUACCCGGAAAAACUUAUCUCCUCGGCAUCAAGUGUUUUUGGAGUUAGUGCAAACAGAGUCCAACUACGUUGGUAUUUUAAGUACAAUAAUGACAUUAUUCAAAUCACCAUUGGAAGAUUAUAUUGAAACGAGUAAUGAAUUAUUGAACAGUACAGAAGCUAAAAUAAUUUUUGGAAAUUUCCCGCCAAUUUAUGAGGUGCAUAAAAAAAUGUUGGAAGAACUACGAUACAGUGCAGCACACUGGGCAGAAGAUAUCAGUAUAGGAAAUAUAUUUUUGAAAUACGCUCCAGACUUAGUAAAAGCUUACCCGCCAUACGUUAAUUUCUUUGAAAAUACUAAAGAAAUGCUAGAUCAAUGUGAUCAAAAUAAACCUCGAUUUCAUGCGUUUUUAAAAAUUUGCCAAACAAAACCAGAAUGUGGUAGACAGAGCCUUAAAGAAUUAAUGAUAAAACCUGUGCAACGACUUCCCAGUAUUAGCUUAUUAUUAACUGAUAUUCUUAAACAUACAAGUAAGAAUAAUUCAGACCAUGGUGCCUUGGAACUAUCAAUCAGUAGUAUUAAAGAGGUGAUGACGUAUAUAAAUGAAGACAAGAGAAAAACAGAAGGUCAACUUGUGAUGUUUGAUAUUUUCAAUGAAAUAGACAACUGUCCACCUCAUUUAGUAUCUUCACAUCGAUCAUUUAUUGGAAAGUGUGAUGUUAUGGAGCUAGGUGAAGGAUUAAGUGGUCGUGGAGAUCAUUUGGUAUUAUUUUUAUUUACUGAUACUUUGGAGAUAUGUAAAAAACGUUCAAAAGCUUUUAAUUCUUUAAAAAGCCCUAAUAUGGCUAAUGGACUUCACACAGUUAAACUUAAUCAGGGUAAACCUUACAAACACAUUAAAAUGCUGUCAUUAAGUACAAUAAAGAAGGUUGUCGACAUUCGUGAAACUGAUGAAUGUCAAAAAGUAUUUGCUUUAAUGGUACGGAAUAAUCAAGAAUUAAAGGAAAAGUUGUAUUCAUUUACAAUAACAGAUGAAGAAAUAAAUAAAAGUAACUAUUUGCGAACAUUAUGCAGACAAAUGGCGAAUACAGUUUGCAAAGCUGAUGCUGAUACAUUUUUAAUUAGUCUUGACUCUCAUCAGCUUGAAAUUGAUACCAGUGACGUCGCUUUGGGGACAUUGAGUAAAGCAUUUAAGAGCCUAUUUUAUAAUUUUUACCUGGAGUAUAUGGAUCCAUUUGCAUCACGUACGAGAAUGAAAGUUGGCAGAGCAUUCAGCUUCAACAAAACUCCAAGCAAAUUGAAAAGAGCAAUGUCCACAAUGAUGUCACCAUUCGGCUCAACGAACAGCCUUACUCCAGCGAGCCAGCAACUUGCCCAAAUGCGUCUAGCCAGUUGCAACAAUAUUAACGAUGACUAUCGUCAUCUUACACGAAUUAGGCAAUAAUGGCACGGAUUCGCCUUCCAGAGAAGAUGUACUCGUAGCUCCAAUGUCAGUUCAACCCACUCGAAAGGCAAAAUGCAGUUCUCUAAGUAUGGCAUCGUUAAGGAGAAACUGUUCCGAGGAAAUGAUUCAAGAUAAAGCGAAUAUUUAAUGUCUAAAAACUAAACGAAGAAAAAUAAAUGAAUAUUUUAUAAAAUUUUACCAAUUCGAAAACUUGAAAGUAAAAUAAAUGAAAGAUUGAU